CCGCAUAACAUAAGAGAAUCGCAUGAUUUUCUUAUCAAAGAUUUAUUGCUUUGAGAUGGACCCGCGGCGCAUUAGCUAGUUGGUAAGGUAACGGCUUACCAAGGCAACGAUGCGUAGCCGACCUGAGAGGGUGAUCGGCCACAUUGGAACUGAGACACGGUCCAGACUCCUACGGGAGGCAGCAGUGGGGAAUAUUGCGCAAUGGGGGAAACCCUGACGCAGCAACGCCGCGUGGGUGAUGAAGGUCUUCGGAUUGUAAAGCCCUGUUUUCUGGGACGAUAAUGACGGUACCAGAGGAGGAAGCCACGGCUAACUACGUGCCAGCAGCCGCGGUAAUACGUAGGUGGCGAGCGUUGUCCGGAUUUACUGGGCGUAAAGGGUGCGUAGGCGGAUGUUUAAGUGGGAUGUGAAAUCCCCGGGCUUAACCUGGGGGCUGCAUUCCAAACUGGAUAUCUAGAGUGCAGGAGAGGAAAGCGGAAUUCCUAGUGUAGCGGUGAAAUGCGUAGAGUUUAA
rnacentral:rRNA from 1 species